AGAGUUUGAUCAUGGCUCAGAAUCAACGCUGGCGGCGUGCCUCAGACAUGCAAGUCGAACGAUUAAAGCUCUCUUCGGAGAGUGCAUAGAGUGGCGCACGGGUGAGUAACACGUAAGUAAUCUACCCUCGAGUGGGGAAUAACGUCCGGAAACGGACGCUAAUACCGCAUAAUGCAGCGGCACCGCAAGGUGACAGUUGUUAAAGAUUUAUCGCUUGAGGAGGAGCUUGCGGCAGAUUAGCUAGUUGGUAAGGUAAUGGCUUACCAAGGCUACGAUCUGUAACCGGUCUUAGAGGACGGUCGGUCACACUGACACUGAAUAACGGGUCAGACUCCUACGGGAGGCAGCAGUCGGGAAUUUUGGGCAAUGGGCGAAAGCCUGACCCAGCAACGCCGCGUGAAGGAUGAAGUAUUUCGGUAUGUAAACUUCGAAAGAAUAGGAAGAAUUAAUGACGGUACUAUUUAUAAGGUCCGGCUAACUACGUGCCAGCAGCCGCGGUAAUACGUAGGGACCAAGCGUUGUUCGGAUUUACUGGGCGUAAAGGGCGCGUAGGCGGCGUGGUAAGUCACUUGUGAAAUCUCCGAGCUUAACUCGGAACGGCCAAGUGAUACUGCUGUGCUAGAGUGCGGAAGGGGCAAUCGGAAUUCUUGGUGUAGCGGUGAAAUGCGUAGAUAUCAAGAGGAACACCUGAGGUGAAGACGGGUUGCUGGGCCGACACUGACGCUGAUGCGCGAAAGCCAGGGGAGCAAACGGGAUUAGAUACCCCGGUAGU
rnacentral:rRNA from 1 species